CCGAAGCCGUCUGCCGGACGAUCCAUCGACCUCCCGUAGGCACGCAGCGACAUGAGUUUCUAGAAAAUAUCUUGCCCCAUUCCAGAGCUCAUGCACGCUCUAUCAGCAGAUAAUGCACAGCCAAAAAGUUGCACUCAGGAGAGCAUUAUUUACAAGUUUAUUCAGCGUUGAUCAGAACACAGAAAAACAUGACUGCCUGCUUUAGUGUCUACGACACAGAGAGAGAAAACGAAAGCAACAGAAAACAUAAACAUCCUGUGAACAGGAAAUACGCAGACUCUGACUCACAAAGCCUGCUCCCUUUUAAGGUGGAACGGAAAUAUCCUAACAUCCUCCCCCUUUCCGUGUAACCUGUAGUACCUGUGGUUCAACCCAAUUGCAACCUUUGUACGUAAACCUUAAGUUGUUCUCUGUUAACAACCUUAGACAACAGAUCAGCAGGAAUUUCAUUUCCUGGCAUGUAGGACACCUGAAUGAGUCCU